UUAUACAGAAUAAAAAAAAUCACAUCAAACCAGAUGUACGACAGAACAGUGGUGAGGAAAUAUUUGAUGGAAAUAGCAAGCCCAAAGCUCUUGAAAAAAAGAAAUUGAGUAAAAUUGGUUGGCUUUUUAAAAUUGUUGAUAUUUUCCUUGACUAGUGACUCGAGUGAUUAAAGUUUGCUUAGUUUGAUAAUUUCCUUUUUAAUUUAUCAAUCUCACCCA